CGCUUUGCGCACUGUAGCCAAUGAGGUUUAUCCGAGGCACGAUUAUUACUAAUUGAAAACUUUUCCCAACGUACCCCUCCAGCCAAUGGCUACUUCGGCGGGGAAUACAGGACAGACAUACCUGUGG
rnacentral:snRNA from 1 species